rnacentral:rRNA from 1 species
GUGGAUUAGAUACCCUGGUAGUCCACGCCCUAAACGAUGUCGACUGGUUGUUGGGGGUUUGACACUCUCAGUAACGAAGCUAACGCGUGAAGUCGACCGCCUGGGGAGUACGGCCGCAAGGUUAAAACUCAAAGGAAUUGACGGGGACCCGCACAAGCGGUGGAUUAUGUGGAUUAAUUCGAUGCAACGCGAAAAACCUUACCUACCCUUGACAUGUCCGAGAGCCUGGAGAGAUCCAGGUGUGCCCGAAAGGGAAUCGGAACACAGGUGCUGCACGGCCGUCGACAACG